UUAAAAUCAAAUACAACAUGCGUGCUGGCAGUGAGUGGUUUGAGGAAGUCCGCUGCAGCUGGAAUGUUCAGGCCUCUUAAUCGGAUUCCCUCCGUGCAGGACCAAUCAGCUCCCAGGAUCCACCCUAGACUGACGCACACAGAUUCACCUCAGUGACACAACGGUACCAGACGAGCAGCUCCUGGGUUCCUGCAAGCUAAAAAUGGCAAUUUCCUCUAUGGACUUUGGUGUGGGAGCGUGAGCGUACAAACUUAAGUUAGCAGUCAGAAAAUGCUGACUCAUGGAAAGGACGGUGACGGAGUAACUCAAUAAAGCUGUG